GCUUACCAUAAAAUUACUCCAAACACAAGAAACUUCUGAAGCUCAAAGCGAGAAAACUUUUCCUCCUUAUCCAUCCUCAGAUUCUCUACUGAAAUUGACCUUCUACAGGUCCCAGUUUGGAAAAAGACAAAACAAAACAAAACAAAACAAAACAAAAUUGAAAAAAAAAACUAGCAUCUUUUGCCAUGAGUCCCUAGAUGGCUGCUAAAUUCAACUGGAUCCCAUGGCACCAUGAAAAUGUACUCAAACAUCUCUAUUAUGAACUUGGAAAAAUAAACAAUAUUAGAAGACUUGAAUUUUUGUGCCACCUCUGUCAUAAAUCAUGUUGUACCCAGCAAACCACCUAAAACUUUUCUGAUAUGCAAAAGGGAAAUAAUAAUAUUUACUCUGCCAAUAUGGAAAGACUAUUGGGAUGAGAUUAUGAAAUACUCUGUGAAAAUCUUGGUAAUGAAGGCAAAAUUAUUUAAUUUAAUUUAAGGCAGCAAGCAUCUACCAAGCACCUAUCAGCUCUCAUCUACAAUGCACGGAAGAGACGAAAUGGACAUGAACAUGAUGAAUCUUACCCUUGUGGAAAUUUUGAAGAAUGAAUUGAAUGAAAGUAGAAUAUAGUCUGAAGUUCAAUCUAGAGAUUCAUUUGGUUCAUAGGGAAAAAACAAUGAGAAAAGAAAUGAGGGAAGAAAAUGGCACUGUGUGUUUCUGGAACUUGAAAUGAUGCAGCAUUGCAGUUUGAAGAUAGAUUGGUAGGCAGAAGCAAAUAUGACUGAGUUUAUGGUACAUAAAGAAACAUUGUAAAAGAUUGUCAUUCAUUUAUUCAUUCAACAAAUAUUUAUUGAGUGCCUGUCAUGACCCCGGACUAUACUAGUUGGUCAAUAAACAAAGGUGAAAUAAAAAUAUCUACUCCUCUACCUCCUUGUAUUCAUAUCUAGGGUUGGAGACCUUGGAUCUGAUUAAAUAGGAAAUUCGAAAGAUGUAGUUCAGGCCAGAUGUGGUGACUCAUGCCUGUAAUCCCAGAACUUUGGGAGGUCAAGGCAGGAGGAUUGCUUGAGCCCAGGAGAUUGAAACUACCCUGGGC
rnacentral:lncRNA from 10 species